GCGGGAAUAGCUCAGUGGUAGAGCACAACCUUGCCAAGGUUGGGGUCGCGGGUUCAACCCCCGUUUCCCGCU
rnacentral:tRNA from 2 species